rnacentral:lncRNA from 1 species
UUGGAAUUGAAUUGAAAGUAAAAAUAAUAAUUUUCAAGACAUUUUUUAUACAAUAAAUGUCACAUUUGUUACAAUAUGGGUUUAUUUGGUUCUUUUUAAUAGUAUAGGAACUAAAUUGAUCCAUUUAAUAAUAGGAGGACUAAUUUAAUCUAAACCCUAAAAUACAAGGACCUUCUAUAUACUUUCACCCUUCUAAUUAGCGUAUUAUAUAAUCACAUCAUUACUAUCCCCCAAAGAAACAUCACAAAUCUUUUAGCAUGUUAUAUUUCACUAUUUCCAUCAUUACAUCAGAUUUGGUCUUGCCCCUUGAAUACACCAGCUCGUCUAAAUUUUGAUAUGUUUAUAUAUCUGAAAAGAAUUCUAUUUGAGGCAUUUGCAUAUUUAUGUAUACAUGUCAUUGUUGCCAAUUUCGUUUCAUUAUUGUCUAUGCUGGUUGAUACAUGCCAUUCUGGUUAAAUUGGUAUCGUAAAGUUUUCAUUUCCGACUCAAAUCUCUUCAGUGUGUUCCGAUCAUUUCAAUAUUGUGGUCCAUUUUAACAAAUUCUGGUCUUAGGUAUAUGUUCAUCUGUAGUAUUUAGAUAAGAUUUUGAUAUUUUAAUUUAUUUUUUAAUAUUUAGUUAAUUUGUCACUUUUGUUUAUUUGUAAUUUUCAAAUUGGAAGAAUAAAUUAAUAUUUUACAUUAUUAUUUAAUUUUUCUAUGCCUAUUUUCAAUGGAUUUUGCAUGUAAG